CGCGCAUGCCUAAUAGUAAAUACUGUGGAAGAACGUGAGAUGCUGUAAUGAAAAGAGACACAUACAGAGCUUAUAGAAUGUGACAGAGACUCGAGAUAUAGUCACAUUAUUAUCGUUACAUCAAUGACGUAGAGGUACCAAUUUUAUCUAUCGAUCUACCUACCUGAUUUAUCUGUCUAAAAAUAUUCAGUCACCUUACUAGAUGAAUUUAUAAAUUGCUAAUCUCUGAAGAGGUCGACAUACUCUCAGGUUUAAUUCUCAUUAUGUGAGGUUAACGUUUGGUAUGUUUACAAUGAAAAUUAUUAUUCGUUAUAUAGAAUUGACUCGAAUGUUUGAUUGAUGUUUUUAAACUUUUUAAUUCUUUACAUUGAUGAUUUAAAUGUUUUCUAGUACAGUGGUAUUUUCUUUUUUUCGAAAUAACAUUUUCGCGCCAGUAGAUAAGUCGAAAUAAUUAUUUAACAAUUGUUAAAUUUGCACGUAUAACUUUCACAAUUCGCCUUUGAGUAAUUAUUAUAUACAAAGAUCACAUAAGAACUCGAAAUCGUACAAAAGAUUUUUGUAACUCCAUUUGUAUUUUGGCGACAAGAUUUGCCUCGGUCUUUUUUUUCCAAUGGAGUAAAGCUAUAUUGUUUUGAAUGCACAUUUUUCUUUAAUAAGAGAGUGAUCUCUGUGUUACUUAUUCAUUGACUUUAUAAGGUAUGCAGUACUAAUUAUUUAAUUAUUCUCCAUUGUCAACUAUUAUUUACCAAUAAACAUUGGCGUUUCGAAAAUUAUUCACUGUUUAUACUUACACGUAUAUUGAUUAUACAUUAAGUCACGUGUCUACUUAUAUUGUAGACAAUUGAAUACUAUUCGAAGGGCAUAGGGCAAAAAGAAUAAAAUCAUUUUUUUUCUAUACUUAAGAUUCACUUAGAGAAGAGAUAACAAUAAGAUAUUUAAAUGAAAUAAAAUCACAAUAUAUAAGCUGAUUAUAUUAAAAAGUUAAUAUAUCUUAAGAUAUUAAAUUCGUGUAGAAUAACUUAUUUGAUAUGUUUAAUAAAUUAUGUUUAUUGAUACCUAAUUAUAUAUGUCAGUGUGAUAUGAAAUAAACCGAUUGCGUAAACGAUGAUAUGAUGAAUCAUGAAAUAAUAAUUAAGAGCAAACUACAGAUAUAUGUUAUAUUUCUAAUAGAACGUAAGAGUAUGGAUUGUGCUACUAAAUAACUUUAGUGUUUAAAUUGUGAUAAAAAAUUUUGAUGACAAAUAAAAUAUCAAUUGUACCUCAACAGAAAUUCUACAAAAUUAAUUAUAUUGUCUAUUAUUAAUAUUAUUAUAUGGCAAUUGAAACAUAAAUUUUCUUGAAUAAUAUAAUUCUCACUAUAGAGAGAACAAUGGAUUUUUAAAAUUUGAAUUUACCUAUGCCCUUCGUGGUAAGUACCGGCUACAUUCAUGCCUACCGUGCCGUUUUAAACAAAAAGUUUUUGACUAAAAAGAUGAUUUUUAUAGAAAAUGUAGCCGGAACGAUUUUGUCUUACAAAAUGGCGUAACGACCGGCAAUGGUUUAGCGCCUCUUCAAUUAUUCUUUCUUUUCCCAUCGUUUUGCUCCAUACGUAAAUUCGUACAAUUCAAUUUUU